rnacentral:rRNA from 1 species
AUACGGAAGGUCCGGGCGUUAUCCGGAUUUAUUGGGUUUAAAGGGAGCGCAGGCGGAGAUGCAAGCGUGACGUCAAAUUUCGGGGCUCAACCCCGUCUCGCGUCGCGAACUGCGUCCCUUGGUCGCGGGAAGGGGAGGCGGAACUCGUGGGGUAGCGGUGAAAUGCAUAGAUAUCACGAAGAACUCCGAUCGCGAAGGCAGCCUUCCGGCCCGUCAACGACGCUCAUGCUCGAAGGUGCGGGUAUCAAACAGGAUUAGAUACCCUGGUAGUCCGCACAGUAAACGAUGGACACCCGCGGUUUGGCCUGUAUGGCUGAGCCGCCAAGCGAAAGCGUUAAGUGUCCCACCUGGGGAGUACGCCGGCAACGGUGAAACUCAAAUGAAUUGACGGGG